rnacentral:tRNA from 1 species
GGGGUUGUAGCUCAGUGGUAGAGCACUUGCCUACCAUGUGUGAGGCCCUGAGUUUGAGUCUCAGUACCA